UGGGGAAUCUUGGACAAUGGGCGAAAGCCUGAUCCAGCCAUUCCGCGUGGAUGACGAAGGCCUUAGGGUUGUAAAAUCCUUUCAGCAGGGAAGAUAAUGACGGUACCUGCAGAAGAAGCCCCGGCUAACUCCGUGCCAGCAGCCGCGGUAAUACGGAGGGGGCUAGCGUUGUUCGGAAUUACUGGGCGUAAAGCGCGCGUAGGCGGAUCAGUCAGUCAGAGGUGAAAUCCCGGCGCUCAACGUCGGAACUGCCUUUGAUACUGCUGAUCUGGAGUUCACGAGAGGUGUGUGGAAUUCCGAGUGUAGAGGUGAAAUUCGUAGAUAUUCGGAGGAACACCAGAGGCGAAGGCGACACACUGGCGUGAUACUGACGCUGAGGCGCGAAAGCGUGGGGAGCAAACA
rnacentral:rRNA from 1 species